UUAAUUUUGGAAUAUCAGAUUAGUAGAUGACAAACCAAUUUUAUAGUGGAACAAUUAUGAAUUGGAUUCAGGUAUUACAUUACUGUACAUUAAUUCUAACUAAAAACUAGUUUUAAUUGGAUUUGACUCAUAUUCCUCAUCUUUUAAUAGAAACUUUUCUUGAUUAGAAACUUUCAUAGCAUGCCAAAUUGACAAAGACAAAACUAAAAAUUCCUUAGAAUAAAAACAUACGGGCCGUAUAUGGGCCGAAGCCCAAAUAGUUUAAUCAUCGUUCGUGAGCCACAAACAGUCUCUCUCUCCCAGCGACGGUUCAUUUCUUCCUCUUUGACCAAAUUCCACAGACUCCGUCAUGUCCUCCGACGGAAACUCCACCGCCGCCGCGGCGGUCGAAAAGAUGUACUUCUGUUACCAAUGCAACCAAACAGUCACAAUCUCAACCUCCUCCACCUCCUCCGAUCCCUUCUGCCCUCUCUGCUCCGGUGGGUUUCUCGAAGAAUACGACGAACCAAACCCUAAUCCACCCCCGAAUCUGAACCCUAGCGGAGGAGGCUUCUUCCCCAUGUCCGAUCCUUUCUCCACCUUACUCCCUCUCCUAUUCGGCUCCAACCCCUCGAUGCAGCCUCGCUCCACGCGAAACGACGCGUUCGAUCCGGUGUCGUUUCUCCAGAACCACCUCCAGCAUCUCCGAUCCAGCGGCACGCACGUGCAGUUCGUGAUCGAGAAUCACCCCUCCGAUCAAUCAAACCGAGUCCCGGGGAACCUCGGGGACUACUUCUUCGGCCCUGGACUCGAGCAGCUGAUUCAGCAGCUCGCGGAGAAUGAUCCUAACCGGUAUGGAACUCCUCCGGCGUCGAAAUCGGCCGUCGACGGGCUGCCGAGUGUUAAGGUGACGAAGGAUAUGGUGAGGUCGGAGAUGAACCAGUGCGCUGUUUGUAUGGAUGAGUUUGAGGACGGUGGGGAUGUAAAGCAGAUGCCUUGUAAGCACGUGUUUCAUCAGGAUUGUUUGAUGCCGUGGCUGGAGUUGCAUAACUCUUGUCCGGUUUGUCGGUACGAGUUGCCUACGGAUGAUCCUGAGUAUGAGAGUAGGGGUCAGGCUAGUGGGGGUGGACAGGGGGAUGUGGAGACGGGGAGGAGGUUUAGUAUACAGGUGCCUUUGCCGUUUAGGGGACGUGAUGGUGAUGGUGAUGGUUCUGGGUCGGGAGCACCUGGAAGUGGAGGUGGAGCUAAUCUUGAGACCAGGGGGGAUGAUUUGGAUUGAGGUUUGUGUCUCUUGCCUUAGUAAGAAUCCGUUGUUUGAACUAGACUACUUGCUGUUUUAUGGUUGUGUGGCUGCGAGAACUUUGUCGAUGUGUGUGGCUAACUAUGUUAACGUCAUGCUCGGGUCGUUUCAUCGUAUGGCCAGAGUCAUUGCUUGUAGAUUGGAUUGGAAAAAUGAUGUGCACAAGUUCUCAGGAAAAAGAAAAAAGUGACGUUGAGGUUUUACCAUAUUUUGUACAUUUACCAACAAAAAAAAAGAAGUCAUGUUCUCGUCUGUACCUUUUUGGGAUUAUAACGAUUGUGAGUUUAAAGAAAAAUCGCAAUAUUUCAUUCAAGUGCUAUUUUGUUUAUUUUCUCAUUCCAUGAUUGGGGUAUGUGAAAUCGAGAUCCCUAUACACGAUUUUGAUUCACUCAUCAAACUUUAAACAUAUAUGACUUGCAAAAUUCGGACACAUACUGAAAAUAUAAACAGUCCCUUGUGGUGUGUUUCGUGAACUUUGUAUCAAACGACUUUACAGCUUUUUGUUCUCAAACUUAUCCUAUAUUACACGUAGUCACAAAUGUGCAACAUUUUUCCCAUUGUUUUUUUCAGCUUUUCUUCUUAUAUGGUAAUGGCAUGUAUGAUGCGGGAACCAACAAAAAAUGGCUAUCUAUUCGUUGCUUGUAUCUGUUUAGUUGGGCAUCACUAUUGAUAGAAAAAUUGAUUAUAAUCAUUUUUUUCUUCUGCUUAUCUGACAAUGUUUAAAAUUUGAAACCAUCAGUUUAACAGAAAACACACAAAUAGGACAUAAUCGUCGUUUCAGGACAUGUGAGGUGCUGAAAAUUCACCUUUCUCAAAAUUCAGUUGGUGGCAAAAAACCAAAAACAUUUAAAAUUGUCGGAUAACAUUUUAAUUGAUAAAAUAUAUAGAGGAAUUGGGGUGUAUAACCAGACAAAAACGUAUAAUUCACUGCAUAGCUAUUUUUCCUAACAUUUCUAUACACGGUGUUAACUUUAUAAAUUAAUACAAUAUUGCCCUUUCCUGCAACCGGCGAAACCUGAAAAAAAAAAUUAUUCUUAAUUAUUAUAUCUAAAAAGUAUAAUGUGGCUUUACUGACUUCACAUCUUUCUUUUUUAUUCCUUAGUAACUUCGUAUCCUUUCAUUGCUCUCCGACACCGCUUUGUUGCACAUCAUCACCUCCAUUGGAUUAACAUUGAAUUGUUGACUUCUUCUUCAUUCUUUGCAAGCACAUCCUCUUCUUCUCAUCUGAAAUCGUCUGUCACACAACAUCGUUAGGGUGUCAGCGGCGAGUAGUACCAAACCGUUCCUAUUCCACUUCACACCGUUGAUUCUUCUCAUAUCUCUGGAACUACAUUAAGUUCUCAGGUGUUUACCUUCAAAUCUCUUCAUAUGUUGUUAUUUUUCUUUUCUAUUUGGGCUAUUGUCGGAAUUAGAGUACUAUAAUUGGUAAAUCUACAACCUCGUACCAUUGCAUGUCGGAUCUGAUUUUUACGUCGAAGUUCACCAAUUGAUUUAGGGUUUUGGUUUCCUCGAUUGUUCUUGAUUUUGAAUUUUAGGAGAAAUACAUAAUAAAUAGUAUAGUAAUAUAAUUUGUUGUAUGGAAUAGCAUCUAUAAUACAACUUGUAUGCGUGAAAUCUCUUACGCUUAUUUUAUUUGAGAUGGAAUAGGAAAACUAUAUGUUCGAACUAUGCUAUUUGAGAUGGAAUCAAUUGACAACCUAUUCUACUUGAGAUGGAAUUGAAUGAUCUGUAACAUAUGUGCUAUCAUUCUUUAUCAACAAUCGUAUUGUUUGAAAUAAAAAAAAUAUUUUCUAUAUAAAAUAGAAUGAAUUACUCUAUUAUAACAAUGUUUCCCUCUUACUUAGUUCCUUAGGUUUGGCAUGGACGAAUUAGGCCUUCCAAGUAGAUUGGUUGAGACAUGUUUUGAACUCACUGGAAAGACGGAUUAACAAAUAUUUCAACUUCCUUUGGAUUGAUGUGGUCAAGAAUGCAUAAGAGGGUUCAAUCUUGUUCGUUGUUAUUUCAUGUUCUCUUGAUAUUAGUUUUGUAUCGGUGCCUAAAUGUGUUUUAUAUUAGUGUGUAUAUGAUUUUGUAAAAAGAAAUAAUAUGUUGAACGUAAAUGGAAUAAAAUUUAUUAUGACAUCAAAUAAAACAUAAUACAAUGUGAUAUUGAAUGGAAAUGAUAUUCAUAUGAUGUUGUCUCUUCCACCUAUUUUCUUUAAAUGCCGUCAAUUUUAAUUUCUUUCCCUACAAUCAAUUUGAAUUUGGUAUAAGCAUUACUUCUUUUCCCUCAAUUGUAAACACUUCAAAAUCUGAACAAUAUUUACUGUCUUAUAUCGUUUGACACCGUUUCUAUUCUAUAUGCUCAUGUAGAAUGGAAAUGCAUCUUACUGGCAUUUCAAAAUUUGGGUUUAGUUUAUGAAAGAUUAUGAUUAACAUUGGAUUAGGAUUUAUAUUUCCAUGUUGGGUUUAGUGAUUAGUGGUUUUGAUACCGUUUCUAUUCUAUAUGCUCAUGUAGAAUGGAAAUGCAUCUUACUGGCAUUUCAAAAUUUGGGUUUAGUUUAUGAAAGAUUAUGAUUAACAUUGGAUUAGGAUUUAUAUUUCCAUGUUGGGUUUAGUGAUUAGUGGUUUUGAUUUAGUUUAAAAAAGAUUGAGGUUGAUAUUGGAUAUUGGAUUAGGAUUUAUAUUUUCAUGUAGAGUUUAAUGAUUAGUUGAUAGGGUUUAGUUAUGUACGAUUGGGUUGACAUUUGGGUAAGCAUAACCACAUUUCAUGAAGGUAUAGCCAUAUCAACAUUUGAGAAAUGUGUUAAGAUGAUCUUUAGAUUGUAACUACAUUUUCACAUUUUCUAUUAUAUAUGCCUUAUGUAAAAUAGUAUUGCAUUUUACUGACAUUUUAAAAUUUAGGUUUAAUUUAUAAAAGAUUGGAGUUCACACUGGAUUAGGGUUUAUAUUUCCGUGUAGGGUUUAGUGAUUAGUUGAUAGGUUUAGUUUAUCAAAGAUUUGAAGUGACAUAGGAAUAAUGUUACAUGGAAACGGAAGCGGGUACGUGGAAGCGGAAGCGUAUGGAAGCGCAUAAGCGAGAUUUUUAAAAAAAUUAGGAAGCGGAUACGUGUUGGAAGCGUAUCCAUAUAUAUAUAUAUAUAUGUAAGACUAAAAAUUAAAAAUUGGAAUAUAUAUAUACAUAUGUAAGAUUAUUUUAAAAAAUCUAAAACUAAAAAUUAUAUGAUUUAAAUUUAAAAUAAAGCAUUUAUUCAUUUAUAAUAAUUUUGAAAUGACUUCAUAUUUAAACUGUGCAAAUACACAUAAAUUAAAUUAAAUAAAUAAUAUUAUAUUUUUUUAAUUCUUUAUAAUUAAUUGACAUAAUAUAUUUGAAUAUAUGAUUUAUCUUUAAUAAAAACAUUAAUGCAUAAAGAUAAUUUAUAGUAUUAGUUUUAAUUGAAAUGACUUCCAAUGUGUUUUUAAAGAGAAUAUUUUAGAAGCGUUUUGGAAACGAGAUUCCGCAAGCUUCCACAAGGUUCCGAUUCCGAUUCCGGUUCCGAAGCGGGAAGCGGACGUCCGAUGAAGCUUCCAUGCAACGUAGCAUAGGAUGAAGGUUUAUAUUUUCGUAUAGGGUAUAGUGAUUAUUGAGGAGGAGCUAGUUUCUGGCAUAUUGGGUUCUCCAUUUGAAGAUUGGAUAGAGAGUUAAUUAAUAUAGAAAAGUUUUAGUUUCAUAAUUGGGUUAGGGUUUAUAUUUCCUUUUAGGGUUUAUAUUUUCUUUUAGGGUUUAGUGAUGAUUAAAGAAGGGUUAGUUUCUGGCAUAUUGGGUUUGCCAUUUGAAGAUUGGGGUUCACAUUGAGGUCAUAUUUCUGUGUAAAGUUUAGUGAUUAGUUAAUAGGGUGUAGUAUAUAUUCCUCUGUGUGUUUACUGAGGUUUUACACUUCCAUACUAUUUGACAUUUACAUCAUGACAUAUACUAUUGUGUCAUAUAGAAUAGCAAUGUUCUGAAUUGGUUUCUCUGUUACGUUACCAUAUAUAGAACGUGUAUUCUUAUUAUCCACUCAUUUUCUUUUAUAAUUUUCUAUCAUAUGUGAUAAAUACAGCUGGCCUCUCAUCUGCGUAUCGUUAUGUAUGUUUUUAUAUUCCACUGGAAAACACCACAUCACUUAUUUUAGGAAUUGUAACUGGCAACCGUUUAUGUGAAGGGGCAGAACCGGAGAAAAUGUGACCAAAGAGUCUAACAUUUAAUUAUGUCAAAAUCAAUGCUACUCACCUAAUUUCACACUGAAAUAUGGCUAUUUAGCCAAUAAGCCCAAAUAUAUAUAACUGCAAGUCUUCUGAGUUCAAAAAAGAUAAGAAAAAAAAAACAGAAAUAAAGGCUCUAAAACAAACAGCAGGCUUCUUCUAUUCUUGUGAAGCAGAGAAAAAGCUGAAUCUUCUUCUUCACUCGGACUUGUGGCAUUUGUCUCUCCAAAUUUGAAAUCUGUCAAGCAGUCUCCUCACUUGUUACUUGAGGAUUUAUGCUCUUUAGGCCCUUUUUUCACACCGGUGGCAUUUUCAAUAUCUCCACACCGACCUUUUCACUCUGAUCUUUCAAGUUUACAGAACCAGAAGCUUCUUCUCUGUGG